UUGCUGCUUGUUUUGAAAUUUCUCUAAAAUUGAUUCAUAAGCUAAAAUUAAUUUUAGGGUUCAGUUAUAGAAAUAGUUGAGAAGUGUCGAAAUUGAUCAUGAGGAAAAAGAAGCUGAUUCUAUAUUUUUGUUCUUUUUGUUGAUGUGAAUAUUUAGAGGAGCUAGAAUUUUCAACUUCUUCGAUCAAGUCCUGAAUAGUAAAAAUGUUACGUGUUCUACGCCGCUUGCUUUGGUUUCCGCCAGAAGCCUUUCAAAGUUCUAUUUGAUGAUGGAACAUUUAAGCUGACACAGCCCUCAGCAAUAUUCUCAGUGCUACUCCUGCCAAGGUCUAUUCAACCAGAGAUAUUUGGGCACAAUUAGAGAAGAGGAUAGCUUAAAUAUUCUUCUGGAGUUUGUUCCUGGUGGAUCUAUAUCAUCACUAUUGGGGAAGUUUGGAGCUUGGUUCUUUUCUAGUUGCUGAUGUUCAAGUGCAUGUUAAUUUCAGGGAGCCAACAUUCUUGUAGAUAAUAAAGGCUGCAUAAAACUUGCAGAUUUUGGGGCUUCCAAACAGGUCGUUGAGCUGGCUACCAUUUCCGGUGCCAAGUCUAUGAAGGGUACUCCGUAUUGGAUGGCUCCGUAAGUUAUUCUUCAGACUAGGCAUAGCUUCAAAAGACUUUCUCUCGCACCUUCAGAUCUCGUUCAUGGAGGUUCCUUCUCUCUUGUUCAUGGAGGAUGAGCUUCAGCUCUUGGCUAGGCAGCAUAUGGACAUCCUUGAGACACUGCCAGAAUAAAGGUAUCAUGAUCCUUGCUCUGUUGCAGACUACUACUGAUGUAUCAGAUAUCUGAUGAAAUUAUGGGUCUAUUUUGGGGGUUCAUGCAAUGUGACAGACUGACAGGGGAGGGGCUCAAUUGAGGAGGCAAAUAUACACGAGGGGCGAUGCUGUGCAAUUCUAAAAUUUGUAGUUCUUGUUAUAGAAUUCCAAAAAAAAGUAGAAAGUCCUUAAGAUGUUCUUGUUUCUUGUACUAUAGAUUAGCUUUGAGCAAUCCCAAUUGACUGAUAUAUUUUUUUUUCUAGAAUUGCUUGGAGUGAACUUGGAUU